GCCUCUGUAUCUCAAGUGGCAGAGCACUGGUCUUGUAAGCCAGGGGUCGUGAGUUCAAUCCCCACAGGAGGCA
rnacentral:tRNA from 1 species